UGGGGAAUAUUGCACAAUGGGCGAAAGCCUGAUCCAGCAAUGCCGCGUGUGUGAAGAAGGCCUUCGGGUUGUAAAGCACUUUUGUCCGGAAAGAAAUCCUUGGCUCUAAUACAGUCGGGGGAUGACGGUACCGGAAGAAUAAGCACCGGCUAACUACGUGCCAGCAGCCGUGGUAAUACGUAGGGUGCAAGCGUUAAUCGGAAUUACUGGGCGUAAAGCGUGCGCAGGCGGUUUGCUAAGACCGAUGUGAAAUCCCCGGGCUCAACCUGGGAACUGCAUUGGUGACUGGCAGGCUAGAGUAUGGCAGAGGGGGGUAGAAUUCCACGUGUAGCAGUGAAAUGCGUAGAGAUGUGGAGGAAUACCGAUGGCGAAGGCAGCCCCCUGGGCCAAUACUGACGCUCAUGCACGAAAGCGUGGGGGAGCAAAACAGGAUUAGAUACCCUGGUAGUCCCACGCCCUAAACGAUGUCAACUAGUUGUUGGGGGAUUCAUUUCCUUAGUAACGUAGCUAACGCGUGAAGUUGACCGCCUGGGGGAGUACGGUCGCAAGAUUAAAACUUAAAUGAAUUGACGGGGU
rnacentral:rRNA from 1 species